UCCGGCAUGGUGUAGUAGUUAACAUUAUCACCUUUCAUACAGCUCAAAAUGAGACGAUUGGAGCGUGAUAACCUGGGGUUCGAUUCCCCAGAUCAGAA